CGAGGGGGGCAGAGGGAAACCACCAGAGACAAACGGGUCUGUGCUCGAGUCUGUUCUCCAGGGGCAGACAGAACCAAGCAGCGUCAUCUGCUUAGCAUGGACCCAGUAACUUUAAGCUGCAGUUCACCACCAGGCCAAGUACGGUGGAAACAUGAGAGAUCCUUAGAGCAGAGGGAAA